rnacentral:rRNA from 1 species
AGGACGAACGCUGGCGGCGUGCUUAACACAUGCAAGUCGAGCGGAAAGGCCCUUCGGGGUACUCGAGCGGCGAACGGGUGAGUAACACGUGGGCAACCUGCCCUUAGCUCUGGGAUAGCUCCGGGAAACCGGAAUUAAUACCGGAUAUGACCUAGGCCGACAUCGGCCGUGGUGGAAAGUUUUUCGGCUAGGGAUGGACUCGCGGCCUAUCAGCUAGUUGGUGGGGUAAUGGCCUACCAAGGCGACGACGGGUAGCCGGCCUGAGAGGGCGACCGGCCACACUGGGACUGAGACACGGCCCAGACUCCUACGGGAGGCAGCAGUGGGGAAUCUUGCGCAAUGGGCGAAAGCCUGACGCAGCGACGCCGCGUGGGGGAUGAAGGCCUUCGGGUUGUAAACCCCUUUCAGCAGGGACGAAGCGAAAGUGACGGUACCUGCAGAAGAAGCGCCGGCUAACUACGUGCCAGCAGCC